rnacentral:rRNA from 1 species
AUUGAACGCUGGCGGCAGGCCUAACACAUGCAAGUCGAACGGUAACAGAAAGCAGCUUGCUGCUUUGCUGACGAGUGGCGGACGGGUGAGUAAUGUCUGGGAAACUGCCUGAUGGAGGGGGAUAACUACUGGAAACGGUAGCUAAUACCGCAUAAUGUCGCAAGACCAAAGAGGGGGACCUUCGGGCCUCUUGCCAUCGGAUGUGCCCAGAUGGGAUUAGCUUGUUGGUGGGGUAACGGCUCACCAAGGCGACGAUCCCUAGCUGGUCUGGGAGGAGGGCAAGCCAAAUUGGAACUGAGACACGGUCCAGGCUCCUACGGGAGGCAGCAGUGGGGAAUAUUGCACAAUGGGCGCAAGCCUGAUGCAGCCAUGCCGCGUGUAUGAAGAAGGCCUUCGGGUUGUAAAGUACUUUCAGCGGGGAGGAAGGGAGUAAAGUUAAUACCUUUGCUCAUUGACGUUACCCGCAGAAGAAGCACCGGCUAACUCCGUGCCAGCAGCCGCCGUAA